GCAUCUUUUUAGGAGCAGACAUUUUCAUAUUUUUUGCCAGUGUUCCGAGUGCUUUGUUUUACUUUUAAUGUAGUAAGUCAAAGUAAAUUUUACAGACUCACAGGCUCAGCUAUCUGAAAUAUGAUCAUCUGUCAGAAGCCCUCAGUGGGACAAUUACAGCCCCCACAUCCUCCCACAGCAAACAUGAUUAUGGGAGAAGAAUGCUUGAGGUCUGCAACUGAGAUUAGUAAAUGUGAAGUACUCUUGCUUCAGUCUUCACCAAAUCACCUGCUACAAAUCUUGGUAAUGAGAUAGAAAUAUCAGGACUGGAAGUUGGUUACAAAUAGAACCUUUGUCAUCUUAAACUACUUAACAGCAAUGGAUGAAAUAUGUGAGAAUUUCACUAAUUCAUAAUUUAAUAAUCAGGCAUUUUAUAAUUUGCCUAAGAAGAAAUUGUAUCUUAUCUUCAUCCGUCAGUGAAGAUUUAAGAGCUGUGUGCCCUGAGCUUUCAUUUCAGCAACAAUUCUUGCCCAAAACACAACCCCAUGCAUAUUUAUGAAUGUUUAAUAGAAUAGAAGCAUAACUCGGUUCUUAGGAUUUCACAGCAAAUCUCAAAAGUUUUCACUAUUAACUAGUUUAUUCUUUGCAUAUGCACGCAGUACAUUUUGUCCUCUGCUAUAUUAUCCUUGUGAAGUAUUUGUAUGUAAUGGAAAAUAAAAUGCUUAAAUGUAGCUGAGUGCUUGAAUUCACAGGUCUUGAAUGCUACUGGGAAUCCAGCCUUGUGUUUUGACUCGCAGCCUUCUCUCUACCAGUAAUAGUUCUUCUUGACUGGUGAGCUGCUAAACCCAAACUGAAAUCACCGAUCAUUUGCAAGCCUAGAAUACAGUUUGCUUUCAAGUUGCACCAGAAAUCUUGCAUUUGAUUAACCUGAACAGCUCUUGCCUGUAUCAUCUGUCUCUUCAGAAUUUUGCUGCAUAGCCUGUUACAGCAAACCAUGAGACAUGUACACAAGCCUACAGGGGUAUAUAUCUGUGGCAAGUGGUACCUAAUUCUGUCUUCAGCUCUUAAUUUAAUCAACCAGUACACAGUAAUUCCCCAAACAUAACUGGAUUAUCAGCACAGUCAAGUUUCUAAUCAGUCACAGUUUAAAAUGAACCAUGUUACAAGGCCACUUUUACAUUGUAGGGUUAUGCAGGGAAACGCAACAAAGGCAAGGUGCUGCUGCAUAGUCUGUAGCCUGGAUAAACCUCCCAAGUUCAUAGGCUCUCAUAUUCUAACAAGCUCUUUCACAUGGAUUAUUUUUUUUACCCCUCAGUAGAAUGUCAGUCAUGCUGAAGGAUUCUGUUGCCAUCCCCCAGCUUCUCUUUUGGAGUAAUUACACAUUUUAUAAUCUUCAGCAGCCUCGUAGUAGUGGCAUUAGAAUAAAAAUGGAGUUUUUGAAGAAAAGAACUAUCUUUCAGACCUCAGAUCUACACUUUCAUCCUGGUUUGUUCCAGCAAGGAAUGAGAGGUCAUCCAAGAGGAAAGUGGGUUUAGCUCUGGUACCUUGCUAACGUUUUUAGGCUGUUGACUUGGCUACCAUCAAAUAUGUCAAGCUCAGACAUGAGUUACCUCAUCUUUAAGCUAUUGCCCUAGAACAGUACUUUUAUAUAUUACCCUGCAGAGCUGAACUUGAGUAGAGGUCAGUGCAGUGUCCACAUCGGUUUUGCAGGAAUAGUACUGAUACUCAGGACACAAUGCAAGUGUUCCUGUACAAGCAGAACAUAAUCUGGUAAACUUCUAAUAGUCAGAGUUGGUAGUUCAGUUUUACAAAAUAUAUUUUCCAGACAUUUGAAGCCUCUGCAGGUACUGAAAAAUCAGCUUAAGAACUGUGUAACUGGAAAGUUAUGGUGCUUGCUGAUUUAACACUGUUAAUGAAUAAGCUUCCUGACGCUUUUCCAGGAAUUGCAUCCAAAUACUGAGUGCCUUCAGCCCUUAAGAUCUGCUAUAUCCACAACACUUAACUCCUACACAGUAAUGAAUAUUUUUGGCUUUGUCAGUGUGUCAGUAGUGACACUAAAAGAAACUUGGAGAGUUUUUGGUGAAGACUUCAAGUAGCAGGGGCUUAAUUAUGCUCUCAACAAAGUCAACAUAGUAUGUCACUGGAUUAGAAUCCGUUUAAUGCUUUCCGAGUUGAAGUCCACAACUAUACUAGGGUGAAUGUGAUUGCUUGGGUGACUGGAGAAAGUUUAAGACAGUAUAUGAGGCUGCAGUUUUAACUUCUUAAAGAACUUUGUAUCUUUAUUAAUUGGAUGUUCUCCAGUCCAUAUAUACUACAACUUAUACUCCAGUUUAAAAACCCUAUAGACAUGCUAAUUUUAAACUCCCAUUUUGGAAGUAUAGCUUUAAUUGUGAGCUGAUCUUUUUCUUAAACACUGAGUCUUCAUUAACAUAGAUACACUAAUGCCAGAUCUUGGGCACUCUACAAGUGAUGAUGAGGUGCAGAUCCUCGCAAAGUGUCUGAUGGUUCAUCAAACAUUUGCAGAAGGCUUGUUUUUCCAGACAAAGGCAGGAUGGACGUGGGGAUUGGAGAUGUAAAAAAUGCAUAGUGGAGUGCACAGUGCUUUUGAAAUCUGCUGAUGGAAGAACUGUGCUGUGAGCCAUGACCUGUAAGGGGCAGAACAGCAAAUAAAGGUAAUAGUAAUGUUACAGGUAUGUGUUGACCCAUCAUGGUUCAACUGUGAUACAGUUGCAACUUGGCUGAACAAAGGGAAGUAUUUUUUUCUACUUGGCUGCUCAGCACACAAGCACAGACUGAUUGGCAAAGCUGGAAAAAGGUUUGUCUUUAAGAAGAAAUAAAACAACAGCUUAUUUAGCAGAGAAGCAAGAGGUGAGUUUUACUUUACAGUCUUAAGGGACAAGGUUGAGGCAAUCCCCUAAUGUUGUUAGCAUGGCACAAUAUCUUGUGUUUGAAGACUUGCAGAAAGGUAUCUCAUGUGAUGACUAAUCUCACUUAUCUAUUUGUCCAUCACCAGAACUGUGGUGUCUGGGGACAGCUGGUGUCCUUAGGCCUAAGCCAUCCUAUGUUUGUUUGUUCCAUCCAGCUAGGAUGGCAGUGGAGCUAAACCUGGAGAGUAGAGUCUUGUUCCUACUGAGCUGAGAACAGUAGGACUUGUCAAGGUGAGUUGUCUGAUAACCUUGGACCUCUUUGAGGAGAUGAUAAUUGUACUUUGGUCUGAACAGAAGGACUUGCGGUCAAGUCAUGUUUUUAGUUCAAAUGGAGGCUCAGUAGCUUGACUGUAUGGACAUCUGGAUUAGAGGCAGAGAUCAUUUUGACUCUCAAUAUUAUCCCCCUAUAUUGAAAAGUUGCUCUUAGGUGACCUCCCACUGAAAGAUAAAUAGGCCUUUUUGGAGCUCUCCUUUUGCCUUAUCUGUAGUUGAGAGAAGUCUGCUGGACAGUGGUAUUCCUGUAUUGCUAGUGAGUUUUUUUCUAAUUGGAUUUCAGGGCUUUGUACUGAAAGUGAAGUUCAGCUGUUGAAGGAUAGUGGGGGAGAUUCUGAAACUGAAUGGGUAAACAUAUGCUGGGACUCUUUUAUUAGAGAGAUUCCUUGCUUGGCCCUAAGGAAUAAGAGGAAUCCAAAAGAUGUAUUUCACUUAGCUGUAACUGUCAUGAGUGCUAAAGGAGGUCCCAUAAAGGGGGGAAUAUUUUAUUCUAUCAAUUUGGCAGACUAAUGACUGUCUUGCUCAGAGGGAUUAUUUCAAUGAAGAAUGGAAGUCAGCUCUCAGGGGAGAUGGAAAUGAAUGACAUGAAGAGAUACUGAUUCAUAAUUAAUUCUGUUCAAGACAUGAUCAUGCACAAUAUUAUAUAAUGUUGCACAAAUGUAAUUUGAAAGCACUAUAUGGUGACUCACAAAUUCUAUAUUCCCACCAUUUUAAAGCAUUCCAUUAGAUGAUUCUUUUCCUUACAGGUGCUGAAUUACUUAAAGUAGCAAAACCACUCCAUUUUGUGUCAGAGAUCCUCUUGGUUGUUAAGUAUAACUCUUGCAUGUCUCCAUCUACUUCAAAACUGUUUCUGUUUCAGCUUUACGAGGUGACAAGCCAAAGUGUCUAACAAAACAUCACUAGCUAUCAUUUACUAUUGGCCAUGGCAGAUGCUUGGAAAGGUCAGUUAGCACACUGUUUUUCCCUGUUUCAUUCAUUGAAGUUCCCUUCUUUUGUAAUGAAAAUAUUUGUAUGUGUGUAGAGUGAAUAAUAUGAAUCCUCACUGGAGUGUUGGUAGAUGCUGUAUGCUUUAUGCUCCUGCAUUUUUGUUUUCCUAUUCAUCUUAUCUGGUAAUAGGUGAUGUGUUUUAAUCCCCAGAGUUCAAGUGCACCUAUUGACAUCAGCACAAGCUAUAACAUACUAAAAGCUUUUUGAUGGCUGCUGUCACCAGUACUGCCACUAAGAAAAGCCCAAAGUCUGAGUUAGGACAUUUUUAAUUGCCUUUUCCAAUUGAGAACUGGAAAACUGCCUGUAAGAAAGGGGAAGUGACAAUGUUGCAUCCUCUCUAGCUAGAAUAGCUUUCUGCAGCCCCACAUCUGUGAUCUUUUCUUGUCUCUGCUGUUGCCAGACACAGAUGAGUCUUUUUUUUCUUUCUGUCCCCAUCUCCCCAUAUUAACAAUGGGAUAAUAAUCUCUUUUUGUUAGGUUUUUACAGAUAUAGUCCUCUGCCAUAUAAACCACAUCUAUACACCACUUCCAGAUUCCUUAAAUAGUGUUAUCAGAAAAAAUGACCAGAGGAAGAAAUCUGAAACACUUUGAACACAGAAACAAGUAAGUGAUGCCUCAAAGGAGGAGGGGGGGUUCAUGUAGAGAACAAAAUUGAUGUUGGGAUGGGUUCUCUGCAUGGGCUUGAAGAAUUUUGGUUGGUUACCCAGCUUCUCUUAAGAUCCUAAUCAAGUAGGGCUCAGAUACUCUCUGCCUGGUCUUGUGAAGAGCUGUUAGAUGUGAUGUUUUAGUUCAACUGUA